rnacentral:lncRNA from 1 species
GAAUUAAACAAGGGCUGUUGUUUUUGCCUGUCAUGGAGUUCCGUUCAUUCUGAACAUGUCACCGGGGACUUUGGAAUGUGUAUCCAUAACUCCCUGAUUUUCAACCACAUUCCAGCCUGCCUGACUCAUGAAGCGUGGAGCGACCCAGGAACAUCCCAGCUCCUCAUGUCCCACAUUCUUCAGGCUUUCUCUUAGUUUUGGCAUGUGCAUGUAAAUGUCAACAGGUGAGGCAUGGUGGCUCACACGUGUAAUUCUAGCACUUUGGGAGGCCGAGGCAGGUGGAGCACCUGAGGUCAGGAGUUCAAGACCAGCCUGGUCAACAUGGCGAAACCCCGUCUCUACUAAAAAUACGAAAUUAGCCAGGCGUGGUGGCGGACGCCUGUAAUCCCAGCUAUAAUCCCAGCUACUCAGGAGGCUGAAGCAGGAGAAUCGCUUGAACCUGGGAGGCAGAGCUUGCAGUGAGCCGAGAUCACGCCACUACACUGCAGCCUGGGUGACAGAGUGAGACUCCAUCUCAAAAAACAACAACAAAAUAAAUAAAUAAAUAAAAAUAAAAUGUCUUGUUCUCUUUUUUCCUCCAG